GUACGAACGUGAAGGGAAUCCAGCACUGCAAAGUUCGCGAACAGCUAUGAAUUUCUCCAUUCAAGUUUGUGUUGUCAUGGCACUUUUCGUGGUUCUCCAGUUUCUUUCAAACCACUGCGAAAGCACACCUGAAGAUGUAGGGAAUCAGGAAAAAGAGAACUCAAAACUUGGCGAUCCAUUUAGAUUUMAARWAACUGAAUUCAAUUGUAACACGACAGCUGAUUGCGUGAACCAUUUCAAGAUAAAUAAUGUAGACUGUGRCAACAAUGGUUUAUGCGUUAUCAMGCCCUUUCGAAUUAGUGGAUAACAGUAUGAUUCAUCUUAACAAAACAUUAUUGACAUAAUAAUUUAACAUUAAGGAAUUGUGAUGCARGGAUGCUAUAAACAAUCUGAAAUAAA